AGAGUUUGAUCAUGGCUCAGAUUGAACGCUGGCGGAAUGCUUUACACAUGCAAGUCGAACGGCAGCACGGACUUCGGUCUGGUGGCGAGUGGCGAACGGGUGAGUAAUAUAUCGGAACGUAUCCAAUAAUGGGGGAUAACUAAUCGAAAGGUUGGCUAAUACCGCAUACGCCCUACGGGGGAAAGCUAGGGACCUUCGGGCCUGGCGUUAAUGGAGCGGCCGAUAUCUGAUUAGCUAGUUGGUGAGGUAAAGGCUCACCAAGGCGACGAUCAGUAGCUGGUCUGAGAGGACGACCAGCCACACUGGAACUGAGACACGGUCCAGACUCCUACGGGAGGCAGCAGUGGGGAAUUUUGGACAAUGGGCGCAAGCCUGAUCCAGCCAUUCCGCGUGAGUGAAGAAGGCCUUCGGGUUGUAAAGCUCUUUCGCAAGGGAAGAAAACUUAGGCUCUAACAUAGCCUGAGGUUGACGGUACCUUGAUAAGAAGCACCGGCUAACUACGUGCCAGCAGCCGCGGUAAUACGUAGGGUGCGAGCGUUAAUCGGAAUUACUGGGCGUAAAGCGUGCGCAGGCUGUUUUGUAAGUCAGAUGUGAAAUCCCUGAGCUCAACUUAGGAACUGCGUUUGAAACUACAAGACUAGAAUAUGUCAGAGGGGGGUAGAAUUCCACGUGUAGCAGUGAAAUGCGUAGAGAUGUGGAG
rnacentral:rRNA from 1 species